rnacentral:lncRNA from 1 species
GCAGCGCCGGGGGCUGAGGAAAGGUGGGUGGCGAAGCGCCGCCGGGCGCUUGGUGGCCGCUGCCGCCGCCACUGCAGCUGUGCACGCCCGCCUCUCGGAGGAAACUUGAAGCCAGCAGUACAAGCAGGGCUGGAGGCCGAGCGGAGCCAUCCGACCUUGGGACUAGGGAAACGUGGACUUGGUGGGCUAUUCUGCGCUGAAGAGGCAGCAACGAGGGCUCGGUGGUAUUGGUGUUGGUCCUAGUGGAAUUGUCAAGAGGAUGCUUUUGAAGUGGCCCAGCAUCUUGGAAGUUCACCAUGCUUGCUUUGCAAGAGAUUCCUGACGCUGCAGUGAAAGAGGUCCAGUCAUUCCAGAGAGAACUUCAGUUUCAGACAAGUCAUCAAAUCCAGAAAGCAAGGAAAAA